CAAAUAUUCCAUCCGUCCGGAAAUACUUGUCAUCAAAAUGGAUAAAAGGAAAUGUAUCUAGACGUAUUUUAGUUUUAGAUACAUCUCUUUUUAUCCAUUUUGAUGACAAGUAUUUUCGGACGGAGGGAGUAGAAA
rnacentral:pre_miRNA from 1 species